AGUGAACGCUGGCGGUAGGCCUAACACAUGCAAGUCGAACGGCAGCACAGUAAGAGCUUGCUCCUACGGGUGGCGAGUGGCGGACGGGUGAGGAAUACAUCGGAAUCUACUUUUUCGUGGGGGAUAACGUAGGGAAACUUACGCUAAUACCGCAUACGACCUACGGGUGAAAGCAGGGGAUCUUCGGACCUUGCGCGAUUGAAUGAGCCGAUGUCGGAUUAGCUAGUUGGCGGGGUAAAGGCCCACCAAGGCGACGAUCCGUAGCUGGUCUGAGAGGAUGAUCGGCCACACUGGAACUGAGACACGGUCCAGACUCCUACGGGAGGCAGCAGUGGGGAAUAUUGGGCAAUGGGCGCAAGCCUGAUCCAGCCAUACCGCGUGGGUGAAGAAGGCCUUCGGGUUGUAAAGCCCUUUUGUUGGGAAAGAAAAGCAGCGGGUUUAUACCCCGCUGUUCUGACGGUACCCAAAGAAUAAGCACCGGCUAACUUCGUG
rnacentral:rRNA from 1 species